GAUGAACGCUGGCGGCGUGCCUAAUACAUGCAAGUCGAACGAACAGACGCGGUGCUUGCUCCUCUGACGUUAGCGGCGGACGGGUGAGUAACACGUGGAUCACCUCCCUAUCAUACUGGGAUAACUUCGGGAAACCGGCGCUAAUACCGGAUAAUAUCUUGCACCGCAUGGUUCAAUAGUGAAAGACGGUUUUUCUGUAUCUUCUCGAUGCAUACGGGCCGCAUUAGCUAGUUGGUAAGGUAACGGCUUACCAAGGCUACCAUGCGUAGCCGAGGGGAGAGAGGGGUCGGCGGCACGGGAAGGGGGACACGGUCCAGGCUCCUACGGGAGGCAGCAGAAGGGAAUCUUACGCAAUGGUCGAAAGUUUGACGGAGUGACGCGGCGCGAGUGAUGAAGGUGCUCGGAGCGGAAAACCCUGCUAUGAGGGAAGAACAGAUGUGUAAGGAACUGUGCACGGAUUGACGGUACCGAAUCAGAAAGCCACGGCUAACUACGUG
rnacentral:rRNA from 1 species